GCAGACGGGUGAGUAACGCGUGGGAACCUUCCCUAUAGUACGGAAUAUACCAGGGAAACUUGGAGCAAUACCGUAUACGCCCGAAAGGGGAAAGAUUUAUCGCUAUAGGAUGGGCCCGCGUAGGAUUAGCUAGUUGGUGAGGUAAUGGCUCACCAAGGCGACGAUCCUUAGCUGGUCUGAGAGGAUGAUCAGCCACACUGGGACUGAGACACGGCCCAGACUCCUACGGGAGGCAGCAGUGGGGAAUAUUGGGCAAUGGGCGCAAGCCUGACCCAGCCAUGCCGCGUGAGUGACGAAGGCCUUAGGGUUGUAAAGCUCUUUUGGCGGGGACGAUAAUGACGGUACCCGCAGAAUAAGCCCCGGCUAACUUCGUGCCAGCAGCCGCGGUAAUACGAAGGGGGCUAGCGUUGUUCGGAAUCACUGGGCGUAAAGCGCACGUAGGCGGACUUUCAAGUCAGGGGUGAAAUCCCGGGGCUCAACCUCGGAACUGCCUUUGAUACUGUUGGUCUCGAGUCCGAUAGAGGUGGGUGGAAUUCCUAGUGUAG
rnacentral:rRNA from 1 species